rnacentral:rRNA from 1 species
UUCGCCGGGGAACUACGGGCGCGAGCUUAAAACCCAAAGGAUUUGGCGGUGCUUUAGACCCCCCUAGAGGAGCCUGUCAUAGAACCGAUACUCCCCGUUAAACCUCACCCUCUCUUGUUCUUCCCGCCUAUAUACCGCCGUCGUCAGCUUACCUUUUGAAAGACCAGUAGUAAGCGCAAUUGGCACAGCCCAAAACGUCAGGUCGAGGUGUAGCGUAUGAGAGGGGAAGAGAUGGGCUACAUUUACUGCCUCAGUACACACGGAAGAUGACCUGAAAUUCCAUCUGAAGGAGGAUUUAGCAGUAAGGGGGAAAUAGAGUGUCCCCCUGAAGACGGCCCUGAAGCGUGCACAUACCGCCCGUCAUUCUCCCCGAUACCCUGAAAAAGCAAUACAUAAUAAGACAGUCACUAAAAGAGGGGAGGCAAGUCGUAACAUGGUAAGUGUACCGGAAGGUGCACUUGGAUCAACCCU